UAACGACUCUCGGCAACGGAUAUCUCGGCUCUCGCAUCGAUGAAGAACGUAGCGAAAUGCGAUACUUGGUGUGAAUUGCAGAAUCCCGUGAACCAUCGAGUCUUUGAACGCAAGUUGCGCCCGAAGCCGUUAGGCUGAGGGCACGCCUGCCUGGGCGUCACGC
rnacentral:rRNA from 1 species